rnacentral:lncRNA from 1 species
AAAAUGGCUCUGUCUAUCAAGUGAAUAACAAAGUGUAGACUGCCUGUCUGUUUCCUAUACAAAACUUAGAUUUCAUUUGCCAUUAUUGUCGGCCUUUCUGCUGAUUUAAUAACUUCUAAGGAGAAGAACUAGGGGUUCUGAUGCAGCCUCACUAUUUAAGAAACUACUUGGAAAGGGAAUUCUCAAGGGCUGAAAGAGGUAGGCCGCGAUCUGAUCUCUUUCUCUUUGGUUUCUCUCUAAGGCUUCAAGACUUAAAAAGGAUUCAAAAGACACCAAAGGUUCACUUUUGGCUAAAAGCUAAAUGUGAACCUUUCAAAAUGAACUCAUUGCUGUCUUCCUCUCAAAAGGGUAAAAUUUUUUUUAUUAAGAAUCCUUGGGAUAGUGGAUAAUUAUUCAACUAGAAAUAUUGAGAAUGAAAAUGGAACUGUUUCUGUUAUGAAAUACAUGGAUCUGUUUAGAUGUGUUUGUCAGGGCCUGUUUUUCACCUUUCAUAGCUCUUAAUAUUAAAAACUCUCCCAUUUUUUUUUACCUAUUUCUAAAGCCUUCAGAUGGUCAGAUAAAGUACCUGAUGCUGAAAAACAGGAAAUUGAAUCAUGUCUCCAAAAUGUGCCUUUUGUCAUGCACUGUUACAGCUAUAUUUCUUGUAACUACAUUCAGCCUCCAGCCAAGAUAAAGAAUUAUGUGAUACAUACUUCAUCUUCCAUCACUGCUUUCA